rnacentral:rRNA from 1 species
GAUGAACGCUGGCGGCGUGCCUAACACAUGCAAGUCGAACGGAGUUCUUAAGGAAUGCGACUUCGGUCAAAUGACUUUUGAACUUAGUGGCGGACGGGUGAGUAACGCGUGAGCAACCUGCCUUUCAGAGGGGGAUAACAUUUGGAAACAAAUGCUAAUACCGCAUAAGAUUACAGUACCGCAUGAUACAGUGAUCAAAGGAGCAAUCCGCUGAAAGAUGGGCUCGCGUCCGAUUAGAUAGUUGGCGGGGUAACGGCCCACCAAGUCGACGAUCGGUAGCCGGACUGAGAGGUUGACCGGCCACAUUGGGACUGAGAUACGGCCCAGACUCCUACGGGAGGCAGCAGUGGGGAAUAUUGGGCAAUGGACGCAAGUCUGACCCAGCAACGCCGCGUGAAGGAGAAGGCUUUCGGGUUGUAAACUUCUUUUAAGGGGGAACAGUAGAAGAGGGUACCCCUUGAAUAAGCCACGGCUAACUACGUG